rnacentral:lncRNA from 10 species
AGAAAGGGCCCCUGGUGGAAAGCAUAAGCCCCUGCCUAUCGUGUGUCUUUUCCAAGCAGAAGGGGAGUUUUGCCCUAAGAUGGGAUGAGGUGCAGGCGUGGCUGCUGGAAUUCUCUUGUGGGAGCGCUGAAGGAAUCAAUGUGUUUGGGGAAACUGUGUGACCAGCAGGUGAGGAACAGGACAAUGGCGACCCAGCCAGGCUGUGGGUGUGACAGGCCUCUGAUUAAUAGGACUGUCCAAUAAGCCCCCAGCCCCCAGGAAGAAGAUUAAUGACAUUUGAUGUGAACUCUGACCUCCCGCGGCAAGAGCAGAGGGAGAAAAGGGAGCCGCUCAGACAGAAUGGUGCAUCCUGCAGCCGUUGAUUGAUUCCUGAAGGCUUUGUUACCUGGAGGUGGUGUGUCUCGGGAGGGGGCCUGAGCAUCUUGUUGCCUGCUCAUGGGCUUUGACUGGAACCCCAGCCUAGCAGGAUUUUACAGUUUACACCUCUCCCAAAGACCAGCCUUUUAACUGCUCCCCGGAACACUGUGUCUGAAAAGUAACAACCUCCAGAGCCUUGGCCAACCCCUGCUGACCUGUCAUCUUCAACCUAUGGGAUCACUUUGACCCCUCCCCAACCCCAGUGCUAGGAAUCAAAUGAAGGAGGCUUUAAAAGCCAGGCUCCGCUCGGUGCUGUUGGCUCACGCCUGUAAUCCCAGCACUUUGGGAGGCUGAGGCGGGCGGAUCACCUGAGGUCAGGAGUUCGAGACCAGCCUGACCAACAUGACGAAACCCCAUCUCUACUAAAAAUACAAAAUUAGCCAGGCGUGGUGGCACAUGCCUGUAAUCCCAGCUACUCAGGAGGCUGAGGCAGGAGAAUUGCUUGAAUCCAGGAGGCGAAGGUUGCGGUGAGCUGAGAUUGCACCAUUGCACUCCAGCCUGGGCAACAAGAGU